CGCGGCCUAUCAGCUUGUUGGUGGGGUAAUGGCCUACCAAGGCGACGACGGGUAGCCGGCCUGAGAGGGCGAUCGGCCACACUGGGACUGAGACACGGCCCAGACUCCUACGGGGGGCAGCAGUGGGGAAUAUUGCGCAAUGGGCGAAAGCCUGACGCAGCGACGCCGCGUGAGGGAUGAAGGCCUUCGGGUUGUAAACCUCUUUCAGCAGGGACGAAGCGAAAGUGACGGUACCUGCAGAAGAAGCACCGGCCAACUACGUGCCAGCAGCCGCGGUAAUACGUAGGGUGCAAGCGUUGUCCGGAAUUAUUGGGCGUAAAGAGCUCGUAGGCGGUUUGUCGCGUCGGCUGUGACAACUCGGGGCUCAACCCCGAGCCUGCAGUCGAUACGGGCAAACUAGAGUGUGGUAGGGGAGACUGGAAUUCCUGGUGUAGCGGUGAAAUGCGCAGAUAUCAGGAGGAACACCGGCGGCGAAGGCGGGUCUCUGGGCCAUAACUGACGCUGAGGAGCGAAAGCGUGGGGAGCGAACAGGAUUAGAUACCCUGGUAGUCCACGCCGUAAACGUUGGGCGCUAGGUGUCGGGGACCUUCCACGUCUUCGGUGCCGCAGCUAACGCAUUAAGCGCCCCGCCUGGGGAGUACGG
rnacentral:rRNA from 1 species